AACACUUCAUGAUAAAGAACUUGCAUGGGCUGAAAUUUGCAAGAGAUAUAACGAUUCUUCCAUGAUUAUGCAAGAACGUACAGUUCAACAGCUAAAGAAACUCUGGACAAA